GAUGAACGCUAGCGGCAGGCUUAAUACAUGCAAGUCGUGGGGCAGCAGGGUUGUAGCAAUACAAUCGCUGGCGACCGGCAAACGGGUGCGUAACACGUACGCAACCUUCCCGUUACUGUGGCAUAGCCCAGGGAAACUUGGAUUAAUACCACAUAUUAUAUUGGUGAGGCAUCUCCUUGAUAUCAAAGCUUCGGCGGUAACGGAUGGGCGUGCGGUUGAUUAGGUAGUUGGCGGGGUAACGGCCCUCCAAGCCUACGAUCAAUAGCUGAUGUGAGAGCAUGAUCAGCCACACGGGCACUGAGACACGGGCCCGACUCCUACGGGAGGCAGCAGUAAGGAAUAUUGGGCAAUGGACGAAAGUCUGACCCAGCCAUGCCGCGUGAAGGAUUAAGGUCCUCUGGAUUGUAAACUUCUUUUCUCUGGGGCGAAAACCAGCUAUUCUUAGCUAUUUGGCAGUACCAGAGGAAUAAGCACCGGCUAACUCCGUGCCAGCAGCCGCCGUAAGAC
rnacentral:rRNA from 1 species